AUACCAUGGUGUGGGCACUUCCUAAGCAGCGACUUGAAGAGUUCCCAAGCUUCAUAUAAAUUCUUGCCUUUAUAUUGCUUAAAAUUAGCAAUAUCAUGCCUCAAUUG
rfam:Gossypium hirsutum cultivar TM-1 chromosome 5, whole genome shotgun sequence